CGAUUCCUGGAAAGAGGAGUGGUUGCCAAGCAGAAAGCCCUCUUGAUAGAAGGCAUGCCUUUCAGUAGAACACAGCCAAUUGUCUCCCAAGCAAUAGAGAAGUCACUUGUGAGAAAUAUUCCUGACUCAUUCUGUUUCUCCAAUCACUGGCCCAAUAGCUGAACCCAAAUGAAAGCCAGAGGGUACAGGACACCAUGUCUUAUUUACAUAGGCCAGGUAGUCAGAGAAAGGAUCUCAAAAAGCAAGAUAGAGAAUAUGUAUAAUAAAAGGUGUGAUUGAGGUCCCACUAGAAGGAGAUGCCUUGCACAGGCAAAGCAGGUUGACAACCCAUGACAAGAGAACAAAGUGAUGAAGGUGAGUAGCUUGUGCCUAGGGCCUGUGCUUAGUAAUUUGUAUAGCACAGGUGAAGGUUUUGAUGUUCAAAACAUUGCAGUCAAAGCUGAAGUCCCUGACCUAAAAACCUGGCUCUCUGGUCAACAUUCUUCCCCUUGGAGAACUCUACCAUCUCCUCCCUCUGACGUAGCAGCUGCAUUCCUGUGGACACUGCCCUUUGCUCCAUUACACUGCUUAUCUUCCCUUGUCAUACGUGCUUGAGUUCUUCAACUAGACAGACUGGAAACCAGCCUAGACAGAUUAAAUAGCUGUUCAGCAUUUAAUCUGGUGAUGAAGCAUUGUAAAUUCUAUAAGCAUGAAGAGUGACUUAAAUAUCAAACAUACAGUAGAUCUCUUCUGGCAACUGGUAAAAUAGUAUAUUUAAAACAUCAACAAUGGCCUGGCUUGGGCAAUGGCCUUAACCACAAUCACCUGUGUGGCACCAUAACCUGAUAAUCUCACUAGAUCAUAGGGUUGCUUCAGUGGUUUACCAACCUCAGAGAUGUUGGUAUUUGGGUCAGCACAAUUCUUUUCUUGCAAGGAGGCUACCUUGGCUUUUGGUUGUUUGACAGUGUUCCUAGGUAGAUAGUUGUGGCAUAUUCCACAUUCGCUUCAUAUAUGACAACCAGAAACAUCUCCACACAUUACCAAAUGCUUCCUGGAAAACAAUCAUACCUCCUGUCUAUGGCAGAGAAGAGGAACAGGAUGGAAGAUUCAAGCAGCAGUUAAUCAGUCUCCUUGGACUUGACACAUCACUUUCUGAUGUAUUCCAUUAGCAAAGGGAAGCUUUUGUUAAUGGCUACAUUUGUUAUUCAUCCUGUGUGUGUGUGGAGGAGGACCAUUAGGAACAACAGUGAAACUAAUUACAAACAUCACUUUCAAGUCAAGAUCCACACAAAGUUAUAAUCUGAAAAGCAAGAAAGAGAAGUAACUCACUAUAGAAAGAAUCAAUCUAUGUUUGAAGAAUCUUUGAUAAAAGGAAAUCCAAUGAAAACCUAAGUGUGUGUCUCAGACACGUUAGCAUCUCAUGCAGUCCAUAUAUAAGAACAGUAACAUCUCCAGGAAACAUCUACAAUGCAUAGGCUUUGAUUUCCAGGGAAGCUUAGAGAAUUAAGGAUCCCACUCAGAUAAAAAGAAUGACAGUCAAAUCCCUGCUUUGUAUCAAAAGCCUUUUCUUACAACCUGUAUUUUUAAUGUCCAUAGUUAAACAAGAUCCAUAAUUCUGCCCUUCCUGUGAGAAGAUAAAUUCUCCCCUGCCUUCCCACACAUGUCUUCCGUGAUGCAUUUUCAGAAAUUUCAUGGUGUCUGACCUGCACAAAUGACAUAAAUCCUGUUUGAGACAGAGGAGACCAGAGUACAAGCUAAUUUCUUGUGGCAGCUCCUGCCUAUAACAUCUCUUCAUUUGAACAGCUCCUUCUUAACUUCUGGUAGAUCUGUUUCCUUGAACCCCUUGUUUCUGCUUGGAGGCAUCUCCACCUAAUUUCAGUGACUCAGACUUCUCGAAAGGAGGCAAGAUGCUUAAGUUUGAUUUAAUUAAGAGAAUUUGGUUCUUUAGUAACACAAGCCUGACACCUUCUGGAAAGUACAAAACUAUUACAUCCCCUAAAGUUCCUUUGUUCAGUACUGAGGAAGCUAGGGGCUAGACCUGCUGGAAACAGUAUGGAAGGUUCUGGGAAUCUCAUUCUAGAAGGUUCCUCGCCUGAGUAAUAUUCAUGGAUAAAUGAAAUUGUAUGGGAAAAAACGUUAUAACUUUAUUCCCAUAGGAUGUUAUGGGAUGUCCAACAUUUUCUUUUUUUAUUAAUGUAGUUAAUUAGCCGUUGUAGGAGUUAGGGAUAUUAAAUCAUAUUAUGUUAUCAAAUAUCACAUUUAUACUUGUUUAUAUUUGUCAAUGCUUUGACAUCUCAUAGAAUUGCCACAUCUUAAUAUUUAAUGCAUUAGUAAAUAAACAAAUCUGUUAAUAUCCCAUGUAUUAGCUGUUUUUGGAAUACUUUAAUAUUAUGGAUAUCCUUCAAAAUUCAACAUAUAUAUUUUUAUACUUUUAAAGUAUUUGAAAGAUGUUCAUGGUUUUCAAUCAGACAAUAAAAAAGUUCACAGUGCAAAGAUAAAAAUGUUUGUUAUAGAUGUGUUCCAGAAAGGAUAGGAAGGGAUCAAAGAAUAUAUAGAAUAGCAUUUUUGUGGAAAUAUAGAUUUUCAGUUCUUAUAUAUAGACUAAAUGGCAAGACUAUCUUGUUUAUUUUAAUAAAAGAAUUAUCUGGCUCAUCUCAA